UACGUAGGGAGCAAGCGUUGUCCGGAAUCAUUGGGCGUAAAGCGCGUUCAGGCGGCUUGACAAGUCGGGCAUGAAAUCUCUCGGCUCAACCGGGAGGGGCUGUCCGAUACUGUCGGGCUUGAGGGCAGUAGAGGGUGGUGGAAUUCCGGGUGUAGUGGUGAAAUGCGUAGAUAUCCAGCGGAACACCAGUGGCGAAGGCGGCCUACUGGGCUCCACCUGACACUGAGGCGCGAAAGCGUGGGGAGCGAACCGG
rnacentral:rRNA from 1 species